rnacentral:rRNA from 1 species
AUUUCUAGAGAUAGAAGUUACUUCGGUACAUCGGUGACAGGUGGUGCAUGGUUGUCGUCAGCUCGUGUCGUGAGAUGUUGGGUUAAGUCCCGCAACGAGCGCAACCCCUAUCUUUAGUUGCCAUCAUCGAGUUGGGCACUCUAAAGAGACUGCCGGUGUCAAGCCGGAGGAAGGUGGGAUGACGUCAAGUCCUCAUGGCCUUUAUGCCCAGGGCUACACACGUGCUACAAUGGGUGGUACAAAGAGAUGCCAACUCGCGAGAGCGCGCCAAUCUCAGAAAGCCAUCCUCAGUUCGGAUUGGAGUCUGCAACUCGACUCCAUGAAGUUGGAAUCGCUAGUAAUCGCGGAUCAGCACGCCGCGGUGAAUACGUUCCCGGGCCUU